rnacentral:rRNA from 1 species
AACGAACGCUGGCGGCAUGCCUAACACAUGCAAGUCGAACGAAGUCUUCGGACUUAGUGGCGCACGGGUGCGUAACGCGUGGGAAUCUGCCCUUGGGUGCGGAAUAACUUCUCGAAAGGGAUGCUAAUACCGCAUAAUGUCGUAAGACCAAAGAUUUAUCGCCCAAGGAUGAGCCCGCGUAAGAUUAGCUAGUUGGUGGGGUAAAAGCCUACCAAGGCGACGAUCUUUAGCAGGUCUGAGAGGAUGAUCAGCCACACUGGGACUGAGACACGGCCCAGACUCCUACGGGAGGCAGCAGUGGGGAAUAUUGGACAAUGGGCGAAAGCCUGAUCCAGCAAUGCCGCGUGAGUGAUGAAGGCCCUAGGGUUGUAAAGCUCUUUUACCAGGGAUGAUAAUGACAGUACCUGGAGAAUAAAGCUCCGGCUAACUCCGUGCCAGCAGCCGCGGUAA